UUAGGAAUCUUGCGCAAUGGGGGAAACCCUUACGCAGCGACUCCGCGUGAAUGAAGAAGGCCUUCAGGAUGUAAAGUUCUGUUCUAUGGGGAUGAAGGCAGUGACGGUACCCAUAGAGAAAGCCGCGGCUAACUACGUGCCAGCAGCCGCGGUAAUACGUAGGGGGCGAGCGUUAUCCGAAUUUACUGGGCGUAAAGCGCGUGUAGGCGGCUUUUUAAGUGAGGUGUGAAAUCCUGUGGCUCAACCACAGAACUGCACUUCAAACUGGGGAGCUUGAAAUUGGGAGAGGAAAGUGGAAUUCCUGGUGUAGCGGUGAAAUGCGUAGAUAUCAGGAGGAACACCCGUGGCGAAGGCGGCUUUCUGGCCCAACAUUGACGCUGAGACGCGAAAGCCAGGGGAGCGAACGGG
rnacentral:rRNA from 2 species